rnacentral:rRNA from 1 species
UACGUAGGGGGCUAGCGUUGUCCGGAAUCAUUGGGCGUAAAGCGCGCGUAGGCGGCCCGGUAAGUCCGCUGUGAAAGUCAAAGGCUCAACCUUUGAAUGUCAGCGGAUACUGCCGGGCUUGAGUCCGGAAGGGGCGAGUGGAAUUCCUGGUGUAGCGGUGAAAUGCGCAGAUAUCAGGAGGAACACCGGUGGCGAAGGCGGGUCUCUGGGCAGUAACUGACGCUGAGGAGCGAAAGCGUGGGGAGCGAACAGG